AGCUCCAAUAGCGUAUACUAACGUUGUUGCAGUUAAAAAGCUCGUAGUUGGAUUUCUGUGUUGGUGAGGCGGCCGGCCACUCGUGGUUGUAGCUAGUUAUCACCGGCGCAUCUUGUCACAAGCCACGCUGGCCUUAACUGGUUGGCGCUGGGGACUGACUCGUUUACUUUGAGAAAAUUAGAGUGUUCAAAGCAGGCUAUCGCCUUGAAUAUGUUAGCAUGGAAUAAUGAUAUAGGACUUUGGUUCUAUUUUGUUGGUUGUUCGAGAACCGAAGUAAUGAUUGAUAGGGACAGUUGGGGGCAUCAGUAUUCUGAAGCGAGAGGUGAAAUUCUUGGACCUUCGGAAGACUAACAACUGCGAAAGCAUUUGCCUAGGAUGUUCUCU
rnacentral:rRNA from 1 species